rnacentral:rRNA from 1 species
UAGGGAAUAUUGGACAAUGGGUGAGAGCCUGAUCCAGCCAUGCCGCGUGCAGGAAGAAGGCGUUAUGCGUUGUAAACUGCUUUUUGCCAGGGGAUAAAAAGACCGUGCGCGGUUAAUUGAAGGUACCUGGUGAAUAAGCCACGGCUAACUACGUGCCAGCAGCCGCGGUAAUACGUAGGUGGCAAGCGUUGUCCGGAUUUAUUGGGUUUAAAGGGUGCGUAGGUGGCCCUGUAAGUCAGUGGUGAAAUAUCUCAGCUUAACUGAGAGGGUGCCAUUGAUACUGCAGGGGCUUGAGUACAGAUGAGGUAGGCGGAAUUGACGGUGUAGCGGUGAAAUGCAUAGAUAUCGUCAAGAACACCGAUAGCGAAGGCAGCUUACCAAGCUGUAACUGACACUGAGGCACGAAAGUGUGGGGAUCAAACAGGAUUAGAUACCCCCGUAGUCCCUGAGCGGGCUGGCAAGGCGCAU